GCCUCGGUGGUGUAGUGGUAGAGCACGCGUCCCCGGAUAGGACAAAACGCGGGUUCGAGUCCCGCCUAAGGCC